rnacentral:rRNA from 1 species
AAUUGUGCAAUUCAAUUUAAUUUGAUUAUAAAAAAUUAUAAGAAUUUAAUUAUAAAAAAAAUAUUUUUAUGUUUUAUUAUAUUUAUGAAAAGAUAGAUUUAAUGAUAGUAAAUUAGUAUAGUAAUAGAAUUUGUUUAUAAAUUUAAAAGAAAAAUUUAUUUUUUGUACCUUGUGUCUCAGGGUUUAUUAAUUAAAUUUUAAAUAUUAUAAAUUUCUCGAUUUUAAAAGAGUUAAUUAUUUAUGAAUUUUAUUGUAAAAUAAAUAUUUAUAAUAAAUAAUUAGUAGUGAAACGUUAGUCGAUUUUAAAUAUAUCUAGUUUUUAAAGAAAAAAAUUAAAUUUUAUUAAUUUUAAUAAUAAUAUUUUAUAAAAAAUAUAAAUUUUAAAUUUAAUUAUAUUAUGAGGGAUAAGCUUUUUAAUAUAAAACUAAAAAUAUGAAGGUGUAAAUUAAAAUUAUAGGAUUAGAACUUUCCAUUAUUUAGUUUGUUAAAAUUAAUUUAAUUAAUAAAAAUAUUUAUAUGUAAUUUUUUAGUUUUUUUAUUUAAGUAUUAAAUUUAAUGUAUAGAUUUAAGAGAUAAUGAUAGAAUUAGUAAAAAUUUAUGUAUAAAUACAUUGAUAGUUUGAAGGUUUUAAAAAGGAAUUCGGCAAAUAACUUUUCGCCUGUUUAUUAAAAACAUGUCUUUUUGAUAAUAAUUUAAAGUCUAACCUGCCCACUGAUUAAUAUAAUUGAAUGGCCGCAGUAUUUUGACUGUGCAAAGGUAGCAUAAUCAAUAGUUUCUUAAUUAGAAACUGGAAUGAAUGGUUGAACGAGAAAGUAACUGUCUCUAUAAAAAUUAUUUUGAAUUUUAUUUUUAAGUUAAAAAGCUUAAAUUUAAUUAAAAGACGAGAAGACCCUAUAGAGUUUUAUAUAUUAUUUAUUUAAUAAUUUAUUUAGAAUUUUUCAAUAAAUUUUAUUUAAAAUUAUAUUUGAUUGGGGUGAUUAUAAAAUUUAACUAACUUAUAUUUAAAAUUGACAUUAAUAUAUGGUUUUUUGAUCCGUAAAUUACGAUUAAAAGAAUAAAUUACCUUAGGGAUAACAGCGUUAUUUCUUUUAAGAGUUCUAAUCGAUAAAGAAGUUUGCGACCUCGAUGUUGGAUUAAAAUUAAAUUUUGGUGUAGAAGCUAAAAGAUUAAGUCUGUUCGACUUUUAAAAUUUUACAUGAUCUGAGUUUAAACCGGUGUAAGCCAGGUUGGUUUCUAUCUUUAAUAUAUUUUAAUAUUUUAGUACGAAAGGACCAAGUAUUAUUAAAAUUUAUUUAUAAUUGAAUAUUAUUAAUAU